GACGAACGCUGGCGGCGUGCCUAAUACAUGCAAGUCGAGCGGACUUGAAGAGAAGCUUGCUUCUCGGAGAGUUAGCGGCGGACGGGUGAGUAACACGUAGGUAACCUGCCUGAAAGACUGGGAUAACAUUCGGAAACGAAUGCUAAUACCGGAUACGCGGUUUGGUCGCAUGGCCGAACCGGGAAAGACGGAGCAAUCUGACACUUUCAGAUGGACCUGCGGCGCAUUAGCUAGUUGGUGGGGUAACGGCUCACCAAGGCGACGAUGCGUAGCCGACCUGGGAGGGUGAUCGGCCACACUGGGACUGAGACACGGCCCAGACUCCUACGGGAGGCAGCAGUAGGGAAUCUUCCGCAAUGGACGCAAGUCUGACGGAGCAACGCCGCGCGAGUGAGGAAGGCCUUCGGGUCGUAAAGCUCUCUUGCCAGGGAAGAACGGGUGGAGGAGUAACUGCCUUCAUCAUGACGGUACCUGAGAAGAAAGCCCCGGCUAACUACGUGCCAGCCGCCGCGGUAAAAC
rnacentral:rRNA from 1 species